rnacentral:rRNA from 1 species
UCGGGAAUUUUGCGCAAUGGGCGAAAGCCUGACGCAGCAACGCCGCGUGAGGGAUGAAGGCCUUCGGGUUGUAAACCUCUUUUCUCAGGGACGAUGAUGACGGUACCUGAGGAAUAAGCCACGGCUAACUACGUGCUAGCAGCCGCGGUAAUACGGAGGGAGCUAGCGUUAUUCGGAAUUACUGGGCGUAAAGCGCGCGUAGGCGGCUUUGUAAGUUAGAGGUGAAAGCCCGGAGCUCAACUCCGGAACUGCCUUUAAGACUGCAUCGCUAGAAUUGUGGAGAGGUGAGUGGAAUUCCGAGUGUAGAGGUGAAAUUCGUAGAUAUUCGGAAGAACACCAGUGGCGAAGGCGACUCACUGGACACAUAUUGACGCUGAGGUGCGAAAGCGUGGGGAGCAAA